rnacentral:rRNA from 1 species
GACGAACGCUGGCGGCGGGCUUAACACAUGCAAGUCGAACGGAAAGGCCCUGCUUUUGUGCGGUCCGCGAGUGGCGAACGGGUAAGUAACACGUUGGUAACCUGUCCCUGACUUUGGGAUAACUUCAGGCAACUUGGGCUAAUACCGGAUAGGAUCUCCUGCUGCUUGGUGGGGGUUGGAAAGUUUCGGUGGUUGGGGAUGGACUCGCUGCUUAUGAGCUUGUUGGUGUGGUAGUGGCUUAGCAAGGCCUUGAAAGGUAGCCGUCCUGGGAGGGUGACCGGCCACACUGGAACGGGGAUACGGCCCAGACUCCUACGGGAGGCAGCGGAGCGGAAGAGUGCACUAUGGGAGGAGGCAUAGUGCAGCGCAGCCGCGUGGGGUAUGACGGCAUUCUGGUUGGAUUCCGCUUUCGUCUGUGACGAGACGAGAGUGACGGUAAUGGGUAAAGAAGCACCGGCUAACUACGUG